CCUACGGGAGGCAGCAGUGGGGAAUAUUGCACAAUGGGCGCAAGCCUGAUGCAGCCAUGCCGCGUGUGUGAAGAAGGCCUUCGGGUUGUAAAGCACUUUCAGCGGGGAGGAAGGCGGUGAGGUUAAUAACCUCAUCGAUUGACGUUACCCGCAGAAGAAGCACCGGCUAACUCCGUGCCAGCAGCCGCGGUAAUACGGAGGGUGCAGGCGUUAAUCGGAAUUACUGGGCGUAAGGCGCACGCAGGCGGUCUGUCAAGUCGGAUGUGAAAUCCCCGGGCUCAACCUGGGAACUGCAUUCGAAACUGGCAGGCUAGAGUCUUGUAGAGGGGGGUAGAAUUCCAGGUGUAGCGGUGAAAUGCGUAGAGAUCUGGAGGAAUACCGGUGGCGAAGGCGGCCCCCUGGACAAAGACUGACGCUCAGGUGCGAAAGCGUGGGGAGCAAACAGGAUUUGAUACCCGGGUAGUC
rnacentral:rRNA from 1 species